UACGAAGGGGGCUAGCGUUGUCCGGAAUUAUUGGGCGUAAAGAGCUCGUAGGCGGUGUGUCACGUCGUUCGUGAAAACCUGCAGCUUAACUGUGGGCGUGCGGUCGAUACGGGCAUCACUGGAGUUCGGCAGGGGAGACUGGAAUUCCUGGUGUAGCGGUGAAAUGCGCAGAUAUCAGGAGGAACACCGGUGGCGAAGGCG
rnacentral:rRNA from 1 species